rnacentral:lncRNA from 1 species
UGGGUGGCAACAAGAAAUGAACCAAAAAAACAAACAAAGAGCCUUGAUCCAGUUAAAAUAAUUUUAUUUUCCAGACGCAGGGCUAAUGGUUGGAAGAUACUGGCCUAAUAGGGUGGCAGCGAACUUAAAAAAAUAGGAUUUCUAAGGAGUUACUUUUUUCAGCACAGAGAAGCUUCUUGAAGGAGGUAUUCAAUUCAUAUUUUGGAGAAGCUUUCUACCUCCAAACAAACCACACUGCUAGGAGGUGAAAAGAAUGUGGACGUGAGAUACCGAAUAAGAAGGCAGAUGACAAGACCCUGGUAUUACCCAUGAAUUGUGUGCCUAAGCCAACUGGGUAAGCUUCAGGCCAUUCUUUGCUUUCCGGGGAAGCGUCUAGAUGCUGAUCCUUUCUGAUAAAAAAAACGGGUAGUAGUGAG